rnacentral:rRNA from 1 species
AUACGUAGGGAGCGAGCGUUGUCCGGAAUUACUGGGUGUAAAGGGAGCGUAGGCGGGAGUGCAAGUCAGAUGUGAAAUACAUGGGCUUAACCCAUGAGCUGCAUUUGAAACUGCAUUUCUUGAGUGAAGUAGAGGUAAGCGGAAUUCCUGGUGUAGCGGUGAAAUGCGUAGAUAUCAGGAGGAACACCGGUGGCGAAGGCGGCUUACUGGGCUUUUACUGACGCUGAGGCUCGAAAGCGUGGGGAGCAAACAGGAUUAGAUACCCUGGUAGUCCACGCUGUAAACGAUGAUUACUAGGUGUGGGGGGACUGACCCCUUCCGUGCCGCAGUUAACACAAUAAGUAAUCCACCUGGGGAGUACGGCCGCAAGGUUGAAACUCAAAUGAAUUGACGGGG